AAAAAAAAAAGUGGAAAAGAAGAAUGUUUUCAUCGGACCCAACUAAACUAUAGUUGAGGAGAGGGCGCAGUGGAAUAGAGUACAAAGUUAACUGACUUGGAAACCAGAGCAACUUGUAUUCUCCUGCAGACCUGCUACGUACUAGCUGUGUGGCGUUGGAUUCUGAAAAGAAACAUUCAGAAAGCAGACAGAUGCUAGCACUCGAAAACAGAAAACCUUUGGCUGGCUCAUCUGUUGGAUGAGAACUACACUCUAAUGAUACACGCCUGGAGAAAGCUUAGGUGAUUGUCCUGUUUCUCCAUGGCCAGUGUGGUCUGCAGAGGUCCUAUAACAAACACAGGAGAGAAACUGAAGGAUGAAUGAGAAGAUUUGUGGUGCUGAAAUUUGGAUGCAUUUGCACCUGGGAUCACUGAUGCAUUUGCACCUGGAAACCGAAGAAUCUGGUAACCCAGUCCUUGAUGGCAGCAGCCUU